ensembl:lncRNA
CUGCUAUUACAAAAUACUCUUUCUCACAACUCUUGAGAUAUCACAUAAGCAAGUACCCUUUGACAGUGGCAAAAGUGAAAAAAAGUGACAGCAAGAUCGGGUGGGCAGAAAUAUUCCAAACUUCAGGCCAUAAAUCCAGCAGCAGGAUGCACAUCAGCACUUUCUCCCUUUUGCCAACACAGCACAGCAUCUCCGGACGCCGGUCCUUGCCGUAUUGUGCAGAAGUGGUGUGUCAGUACCACAUUCAAUGAUAAGGCUGUUUACAAGUGGCAAAUUUAAGGCACUUAUGGUUCCCCAGAGUUUAUCUCCCUAAGGAUGGCAGAGCUCAAAGAGAAUGGAGGUUGGGGGUUUUGCCAGCAUAUUGUAGAAAAGCUUAAAGCUUCAUUUGCUGACCCAGACUUACAAAGAACUUGAGAAAUCAGGCAGCCUCAUGGGCCCGAGUUCCAGAUGAACACAAAUACAAGAUCACUACUCAACACAUGUUAAGCUCGCCUCCUGAUUCACUUGGAUGUGAUGGAUAGCUUUGAAUGAGAGCACCUGAGCGUGCUGUAAAGGGCUUAAUUAAAACCAGCAAAAUCGUCAACGCCUGUUCCUUAGGUGAGAUCGGAUACCAGGCCUGCAUUGAUCUGGAGCAGCGCUGUGCUAAAGUCCUCCUUAGGAAAAAAUCGGUGAAUUCUUUACCACAAGUGUAAUCUGAGAAGCCCUGAAGAAGCCUGAAGAGGCUGCACACACUCAGAGACAGCAGGGGGUAUGGCAUAUCCAGUUUAAGGAUGGUUGGUUAUACUUGGCACCAAGGAGCAAGUAAGAUUUCUCUAAGCUAUAAGCAGAGACUCUGAGGCUCCUGUUGCCUGGUGCCCAGCCUGCCUUGUUUGGCCUAGGACCUGAUAAAUUGUCCUCAGAAUGCUGUAGAAUUGAUCUACUUUCAGAGUUUCAGAUCUCCUUAAGGUCUGUGAGCAUUGACUGAGGAGAGAUGGAGCCUUCAACAGUGUAGAGAAAGAGCUGGAAAGGCUCUUUGUAACUGUGUAAUGAUUGCCUUAAACUUAACUCUUUCUUUACAAGGUUCAGAAUAAUUUCUCAUUACCAUUUAUGCUAACAGACCAUGAUAAGGACAUGGAGAUGUCUAAAUCCACUGAUUCACUGCAGAGAAAGGGGUAUUGGACAGUGCUCCAGAAGGAGUACCAUGUGUAUUUCAACUGUAAUCGGAGACAUCUAUUUUCAACCUCAACCACAAUCUGUGAGUACAUUUUAAAGUCCCCUUUUGGGGCAGAGAAACUAAACAGACUUUUUUUUCCAGAAAAGAAAGAGAUUGUCAACAAGCAUAUGAAGAGAUGCUCCAUAUCACUCAUCAUUAGGGAAAUGCCAAUAAAAAACCACCAGGAGAUAUCAUCUCACUCCUGUCAGAAUGGCUAUCACCAAAAAGACAAGAGAUAACACGUGCUGGUGAGGGUAUGGAGAAAAGGGAAUCCUCAUGUAUUAUUAGUGGAAAUGUAAACUGGUGCAACCACUACAGAAAACAAAAUAGAGGUUCCUCAAAAUAUUAAAAAUAUAACUAUUGUAUGAUCCAGCAUUUCUAUUUCU